rnacentral:rRNA from 1 species
CACGGGGGGAGCAAGCGUUGUUCGGAAUCACUGGGCGUAAAGGGCGUGUAGGCGGUUGAGUAAGUGGAAUGUGAAAUGCCCCGGCUCACCCGGGGACCGGCAUUCCAUACUGCUCGGCUCGAGUAUGGGAGAGGAUGAGGGAAUUCCUGGUGUAGCGGUGAAAUGCGUAGAUAUCAGGAGGAACACCGGUGGCGAAAGCGGCU